AUGCUCGGCCAUUUACUUCUCAGCUCUAACAGUAAACGGACGUUUUUAAUUUACAAAGCUGUUUAAUUUAUUAAAACAUGCUUUUGCAACUAGAUUUUUAUUUUAUAAUGAUUAUUUACUGGACGCUUGAUCUACCUUCUAGAUAAAAAAACCACGUGGGCCGGAUGGACCAAAAAAUGGAACCCAAAUUUUAAAUGAGCGAUGAAGCUCCAAGAUGACUAUCCUAGAAGCCAAUGCUCUAGAUAUGAAGCCCACCAUGUGUUUGGUGAAUAAAAGCUACUGAAUGAUGACAAAGCAGUACCUCUUAUUUAAUGAUAGAGCGGUUUAGUCAACGACUGCUGAAUUACAUCAUCACGUCAUAUAUUUUUUAAAUAUAUAAUCAUUUCAUGUAAAAUUUUUAAAUAUAUUUUUUAUUUAUAAACAAA